ACUGAUAAGUCUUAUCAGUAUAUUUAGGACUGAUGUCAAAAAUAUUAUCAACUUUUAGAAGAACACAUAGUGGAAAAUUUAGGGAUGUUGUCAAGGCUGAACAGAGUGGCUCACAUGUAUUGAGUUCAAUGAGUGGUGUCCACCCUGUGUGUGAACAAAGACUACUCUGGGGACAGCUAAAAAAAUCAAUAGGGUGUUACUAUCAUUCAGCUACUCAGUUACAAAGGCUCUUGCAGAGGUAAGGCUGAAAAACAACAAACAUACCCAAAAAGAGUUCUAGGCCAUGCAAUCCCCAGUCAACCCUAAUUCAUUCACAUCAAUACCAAGCACAUGUAAAAGGGCCAGGCCACUUAAAUCUUUAAGCCAGUUUUGGAUGUCCUCAAAACAACUAGGCAUUUUACCCAUGGGUCAUAGACUGGCAUCUAGGCAAUUGGAGUAGGAUUUAUGUUAGGAUAGCAAGCAUAAAUAGAAAUGUCCCAGGCAAACUGAUAUGUAUGGUUACCCCUUAUACAUUAAUUUAAAGGAUUAGACUUUAUUUUUUAAAAAAGGUUUUAAGCAUAGUGGUGAAAUAAUGUGAUUUCCAGUUUUAGGAGCUCACUUUGACUGCCAUAUGGAGGAUGGAUUUGAAGCCAGGGAACCAGAAUGCAGGAAAAGCACUGAGAAGACUAUUACAGUAAUCCAGGUCACUUUGGCCUCUACAGCCAUGCCAUUCCACGACUGCUAACACACCGCAGUUUCUCUUCUAUAUGUUGAAGAAUUUGCUGAUGGGAAGGACGAAACCCUGCUCUUCUGAGAAAUGAGAUAUAUAUCAGGAAAAUUGGCUUGAGUCAUUAUAUGAAAGGCUAAAUACCAGACUAAGGAUUUCAGGUUUCAUUGAUGAUGUUGGAGUACUGAAUACUUUCAAUCUGAGCCAGGACUCAUGAAAGCAGCAUGGAGGCCAGGGAGCUGCUCUCCAGGCUCCUCCCACAGUGUUCAGCUAAGAGAUAAAGAGGAAGAGCCAUCCUGUGAACCUAGGCUGGGGAAGCCCCACUGUGCUCAGGGCCACUGUCACCAGUAUCAGCAACAUGCCAUGUCUCAGCAGCCCAAACCACCCUGCACCAGAGACAAAACAGGACAAGACCUGAGAAGGAGGCCAAGAAGGGAUACUGACAAGACUGGAGCCAAAUCCCCACGAAGACAGCUGUCUCUUGAGCCCCCUUCACAUCCAUCUGAACACCGUCUGUCCCUCUGACACUGUGCAAUGCCACAUAAGAGAUGUCCCCGUAGUGACGAGUUUGCCUAAUGUCCUGCUGGUUUCCUCAUUGGUAGGCUGCAGCCCUUAUACCACUUCAUGGAAAGCUUCUCCACCAAGCUGCCUCAAGAAAGAAACCAGACAUCUCUCAUGAGACUGCAUACUCUAAGGAGAGAAUCGAGGUCGAGCUCUGUGCCUCUGCAUCGCCUACCAUGUGUACAGCAGAGCCUUCCACAAGCUGGCACGUG